rnacentral:sRNA from 1 species
CCACCACCACCACCACCAAAGCCUUCCAUCAGCUUUGUUUUGCAAGGCAGAAACCGAGGCACAGACGGGCUAAGGGCUUCCCAAGUCAUACAGCACCCCAUUGGUAGGACUACCCCCGCCAUCCAAGGCCCUGGCCUUUGGCCUGCUAGACUCACCUGGGCCUCAUCUAGUGGGGAAGACUUAGCCAAGAGCUGGGUAGAAGAGGAAUGAGUAAGGGAGCAGAGGCUGUGCCAUCAGGCUCCAUUUUCACAGAACAGGCUGAGUAAUGGCCCCCAUAGGUAAAUAGCUUGGUAGCCAUAGUGCAGAGCUACUGCCUCUGGUCCCAAUCUAUGCCCUGCCAAGCCCCAUUUCUGCAGGGAUAUCAUUGCUCAUCUUAAAGUGGUAGGCCAGACCCUGGCAGUGGUGAUGGUGGUGGUGGAAGUGGUGGUGGUGGUGGCAGCUGUGGUGGGGAGGCUCUAACAUCCUGAAAGCCAUCUACAGAGGACAUUGAAGACGGGGUGGGACUAAAGCUCAUGUCCACUGUGGUGGCAGAUCCUCUGGGCAUGUAAGCCUCUGUUGCUUUUGUAGGCCCAGAGCCCUUCUCCUUACACUCCCUGUGACUGGAGUGAAGGAGUGGGUAGUUGGCCUGCAGCUUGGGCGUGGCUUGCUGGGUGGAGGUGGCCAGGCUCAGGGCUGCCUGGGCUAUGACACUUCUGUGAACCUCACUCCCUCUGGGUACCUAUUAGCAUGCUACUCCAAGGGGGGCUGGUAAACGUUAACUGGCCUUCCGGCCUUUAGCAGCCAGGGGGUCAGGGAAAGGUCACUGAAACCUGCAGGAUUGAUAGUCUAGGCAUCAGUCUCUACCCAGUUCUUCCAGGGUGAGAACGAACCACCGGGAGCCCAUUUCCACAGAAAUCCUUUUCAGGGGUCUCUUUACUAUGGGCCCGGUCUUCUCCAGCCUCUAAGUCCACAUCUGGGGUUGGGAAGGUGUGUAGCGAGAGCCAGUGGGCAGACUCUGAAUAGAUGGCAGGCCUUGGAAUUUGGGGGCCUGGCCAGGUGUGACCCCAGUGCCUGACCUCUGUGGCCUGGAGGGUAAAGAGGUGGGAGGUGGGGGUUGGGAGGAGGUUACUGGCUAACAGUUACCAGGACCUUUGAAGCUAUAAAUGCUUCCCCGGGCCCCUGCUGGGAUGGAUGGGGUCAGAGUUCACUGGUUGUCUGGCUCUCCAAGUGGGCUGGAAAUCUUGCAGGCAGAUGGAGUAGGGACCCAUGGAAUGGGACAUUCCCAGAGGUGGAAGGCUCAUGGGAAAUGUUAUUUUUGGUGCUCUGGCUUGGCUCAGGCCCAACGACUUGGAGGCCUUGGGAGGGGCUGAUAGAAGUUGUUUUUGUCACAUACUCACUCGUCUCUCGGGUAUGUUUCCCAAGUUGUGUUUGGUCACACCAAGAUCGGCUUCUGAAUGAUGGAGACCUUGCAGUCGGCCUCUGCCUGACCUGGCAAGGAGGAAGAACACGGUCGGGUCUCCUGAUUCAUUGUGUCUCAAUGGGUCCAGUAGACUGGAUAACGGGGUACAUAUGAAAAAAACGGGGAGCAAGAGGAGUCAACAUUCAGGCCUUCAGCACCCGAAUGGACUAAGCUUACUGAAGUCACCGGCAGGUCUUCCAAGAUUUCCGAAAACGUACAACGUGGUGCGAUGUCUUCUGCGCGCGCGACAACGUUGUCUGCUCCUCUCCAUCUGUGUUUUAUCACGCCUGUACGCCUCAGAACCACCGAGAUGAAAAACAAGUCUACAAAAUACAUAGAUGUGGAACUGGCUCCACUGGAGAUCAUCUAUGUCUGGUGGCUCACAGAUCGAGGUUCCACUGAGAAUCCCCUGUGAGGCUCAGAGCACUUCUGAGAAGACAUACACAAGCGGCACCAGAACCCUCAGAACUAACAGAAAUACAGACGGAAGCAGAAAAGCAGCGACGAUCCCAGAAAAUGGCUGUUAACAUAUCGAUGCCGUAAGACUUUAAGAUCGCCUGAAAUUGAUUCUCAUAAUUUCCCCCCGGCGCUUGAGAUUGUUUUCCCGUUGCUCUUGCAGCUUCUGCUGGACGCGGUAGCUCAAGUGGAGUCAAUGUGCGUUCAGACCUUCGAGCUCCCACCUCACGCCUGAGCAUGCCACCACCCGCUUGCUCCUACCCAGACUGCAGUGACUUAAGAUGCACUGACUCUCGUGUCCUUUCCACCCAGAUUGUCCUUUAAAGCCACAUACCUGCUCUUAUCUUUCUUGCGGACUCUCUGCUUGUUCCUUCUCGCGUUAGGGAUGACUUAGAGGCAGUAUCGACCCCAUGCUUCUGCCCCCAUUGCUCAGGAUCCGUUGCCGCACAUCCUUCUUACAACCCUUGGAGGAGCUGCAUCGCUGUUUGGCUCCAAGUCUAUGCAGAUGACUUCACUUUCCUCCCAGCUGGUUCAUGUGGACUCAGGUCUGGCUUCAAACGCAGUACCUCCGAGAAGCCUCUUCUUGAUCAUGGCCCUGUUUCCACUCUCCGUGACGGAGCUGAUUGUAUUUAUGCCACCAUUCGGGUGGCUGUCGUGUAGUAACUCUGUCUCUGUUUCUUAGUCUAUUCUUGAGCAACUUUAGCGGACUAUCAGAGUGGAUAAUUUAUAAGGAAAAUUAUCAUAGACCGCUUGUGAUUAUGAGGCCGUGAAGUCCAUCUGGCAAGGGCUCCAUGCUGUACCACAUCCCAGUGGAAGACAUUUCAUGGCAAAAGAGCUCUCUCGAGGAUGGAAAUACGAGCACCGAAGAAGUUGAGUUUGAUCCUUAACAGACACAGCCCACAGCCACGCUUGGCAAUCUUGAGGAUAUUGCCCUCGUGCCCAAUUUCCUUUUAAAGUCCAACCUCUAAACGCUGUCACCAAGGCACUGCAAUUUCAAUAUGACUUUCAGAUAGCGUUUUUAUAUCAUAGUGCCCCGUGCCCCAUACACUGGACAUAAGGCAGGGUGAGCCCAUUUUGCAAACCACAGUAUUUGUUCCUCCUGGCAGCCCUCCCUUUCCUCCCCAGGGGAGCCCAGCUCAUAAAAAUCCACAAAGCUCAUGGCACAUAGCGACUGGCAGCUGUUGAGGAUUCCACCUUCAACAGUAUGUGGAGAGAUGUCAAUGGAUAAGAUGGGCCCCUGAGCUGUCCAGUAAGGUAGAUCUGUGAAGCACAGCUUUGCUACUUUGCUUUUGAUAUACGAAAGGCAAGUCCCAUUCUGGACAGAGCAUCCGGGAUUGAACUCCUUCGUGGAGCCAAGCUUCCACCUCAGCCCUGUAGACUGAUGUGCUCUGAAAGAACUUCUAUAAGUUAGAGAGAGGUUUACCUCCCUUAAAACAGUUAAGUAUUGAUUGUCUCUGUUCUCCAGACAAACAUCAAGUUCGCUCGAUAACUACUUAAUACAUACUGGCAUUCUAUAUAGCAGUAGGGUGCCAGGCAGUGGGUGCAGAGAGCUGAAUAGGCACACGGGGAGAGCUCAGCUGGGAAACACUAAUUACAGCUCACAAAGUCCGCUUAUGUAGUCAUCUUGAUUUGUCACAACAACUUUGUGACGCAUGUGCCAUUAGGACCACUUUACAGUUCAGGAAACGAAGGCUUGGUGAGUUUGCAUUUGAAGGAGUUACAGCCCAAGGCCAAAUGUUUUCACUUCGACUCCAGGUCGACUCUUGAGGAAGCUGACAGUAUAGAUUCGCUGCUCCACGGAGUCUCAUGGUUCAGUCCCCAAGCCCUCCACGCUGAUGAACUUGGUCCCAGCACAUAUGAUGGCGCCCAAGCAUCUUGUUCGGACCCAGUCACGUGGAAACAGCCCUGCCAGUUGCAGAUGGUGCUCCAACGGCCAACUAGGAAAGGCAUCAGCCCUGAGAACUGGAGUCUAGAGAGGAAUUCAGGGUGGUUAUUCAUCCUGGGCAUCAAAGCUGGUGGCUCAGCCAGUGACCUUUAUUUCAGGACAGUUCAAGAGGCAUGUUUUCAUCAGCCACUGCGCAGCGAGAGAAGAUAGACGUACUGAUCCCAAGCACUGAGUGUCUAACGCGGGGGCAUCUCAGCAAAUGGCUUCAUGGUUCACAUUACAUGGUACUCAUGACCCUUGGAAAAAAUUCCGCUCCAGGACUGACAGAUCUAUAGCUUUCUGGCUUCACAUGCAAGGCAAGCAAUCUUUGCCUCUCCUUUGUAGUUUUCUCUUACUGGUCUUGGCUUGGUUGGGCAGCGUAAACACAGUGCCUUUGCUCUGGGGCAUUCCGUCAGCUAUUAAGUGUGCAGGGAGUCCCCACUUGAGCCUUAGCCACACUUAGACAUGUCUGAGCAAGCCUGGAGAGCUGUGAUGUGGGUCUGCUAGCAACCGAUGUGUGCCUGAGCCUCCUGGGAAGGAUGAAAGAAUCGGGCACAACCUGGGUAACGACAAUGUUGCUCGCUUGUAGCAAGAGAUGAGCAAUUGAACACUGGUGAGAGGCCACAACUGCAUUCAGCCAUAACUCAGCCCCCACUGGACUUCUUAGGAGAUUUGGGGGAUGAAUAGGAAGUGUACAGGAGAUUGGGGGGUGGGGGGAUGGGGAGCAAGGGAGGGAGGGAAGGAAAGAGAGAACGAGGGAGAGACUAUGGUUUAAUGCAGUACACUGCAAUCACCGGGAAUCACUGGUCUUGAGAACUAACCAUAGUAGAGAGAGGCCUUGCCCUCAACUCUAUGGCACAGCCUAAGCUUCUAAGGCCUCCAGCACCUCUGAAGUUGCAAGGACUUGAGCGCUCAGCAAGAGGUAGCUGUUUCCAGAGUCCUAGUAAGAAAUCUGAAGCAACCCAAGGAGAAAAAAAUUAGCCAGUGAUUUGUGUAGCUCUCAGGUCUCAUCAGAGCUAUCUGAUGAGAAGGGAAGCCCCAUCCCUUCCACCAGGGCUCAGAGAAUAUCUUGGAAGAUGGUACAGAAAGACUGCAAAAGCUAUUAAGAAUGCUGCACUCAGGAACCCGCAGCCACAGCUGGCAUGAGACUUGCACAAGAUCAAGCUAGUCAACAUUCUAGCAUAGAGGGGCUCAUGAGCCCCUACACCUAGCUGAGGAGCUAUUCAACAGUUGACGGCUGGCAGGGGAGAGAGAGUCAGUUUCUUAGUCCAAUGGAUGGACCCAUACCCACGGAUAUAUAGAUUCUGUAGAUUAUUGAAGAAGGAGAGAGG